GCCAGGUGCAGUGGCAUGUACCUAUAAUCCCUGCAAUUAGGAAGCUGAGACAGGAGGAUCGUAAGUUUGAGGAUAGCCUCAGCAAUUUAGUGAGAUCCUGUCUCAA
rnacentral:sRNA from 1 species